rnacentral:rRNA from 1 species
UACGUAGGGGGCAAGCGUUGUCCGGAUUUAUUGGGCGUAAAGAGCGUGUAGGCGGCUCGACAAGUCUGCUGUGAAAACUCGAGGCUCAACCUCGAGCUGUCGGUGGAAACUGUCUAGCUAGAGUCCGGAAGAGGAGAGUGGAAUUCCUGGUGUAGCGGUGAAAUGCGCAGAUAUCAGGAAGAGCACCUAUGGCGAAGGCAGCUCUCUGGGACGGUACUGACGCUGAGACGCGAAAGCGUGGGGAGCGAACAGG